rnacentral:rRNA from 1 species
UACGGGGGGGCAAGCGUUGUUCGGAAUUACUGGGCGUAAAGGGUUUGUAGGUGGCUUGUUAAGUCAGACGUGAAAUCCCUCAGCUUAACUGGGGAACUGCGUCUGAUACUGGCGAGCUUGAGUGCAGGAGAGGAACGCGGAAUUCCAGGUGUAGCGGUGAAAUGCGUAGAUAUCCGGAGGAACACCGGUGGCGAAGGCGGCUCCUGGACCGAUUACUGACGCUGAGCGCGAAG